rnacentral:rRNA from 1 species
AUGGAUGAGCCGGAGGAGCAACAAGAACAAAUCAAGACACAGGAGAUGCAGGUGGAUGAUGCUGCUUCCUCACUCGCCAAUGCCCUCCUCCUGCACCACAUCAGGGCGGAUGGGGAUGCUGCUUUCUCUCUGCCGCCCGAUGCUCCUCCCACACUCCCCAACAAUCGCCGCCGCGGCAGACCAACCAACAAGAGGCCCCCGCGAAACCCGCUUGGGAGGCCCAGGAGCCACAAAAACCCUGAUUCACACCCAUCCCCACAGCCAACCACCGCUAUCAAGAGACCGCUGGGGAGGCCGGGGAAGGACAAGCAGCCACCAGCCUCUCCUCACCCGACCCCGACCCCGAUUGCAAGGAGGACCAGGGCAGCCACAGCAUCUCCGCACACCCAAGCUGGGCCCAGGACCACAAUGCCGGCGGAGAAGCUGCUAGCAGCAGCAGCAACAACAAUGUCUGCCGGUGCUGCGUCCAGGGGAACCAAGAGGCCACGCGGGAGCCCAGCACAGGGGACGCCGAUGUCCGCUCCUACAAAUGGGCUCAAGAGAGGGCGAUGGAUGCCAGAAAACAACAUGCCAGUUGCUGCUGCGUCCGCGGGGAUCAAGAGAGGGCCUGGGAGGCUGAGGAAGGAGAAGCCAGCGGCAGCAAUGUCUACUCAAGCUGGAGGUGCUGCGUCCGCAGGGAGCAAGAGAGGGCCUGGGAGGCCGAGGAAGGAGAAGCGAGUACCAAGAAUGUGCGCUCAAAGGGUCGGGAGGCCGAGGAAGGAGAAGCCAGUGGCAGCUCAAGCUGGAGGUGCUGCAUCAGCGGGGAUCAAAAGACGGCCUGGGAGGCCAAAAAAGGAGAAGCAAACAGCAAUGCCUGCUGAAGCUCAAUAUGCCUCAUCGGCCGUGGAACCCAACAUAGGGGCUGUGCAGCAAGAAAUGGAGAAGCAAACAGCAGCUGCAAUGCCUGCUGAAGCUCAAGAUGCCGCAUCGGCAGAACCCAACAUAGGGGCUGUGCAGCAAGAAAUGGAGAAGCCGGCAGCAGCAGAAGCUACUCGUCGUCGUAAACAAGAGGAUGAUCUGGCAUCAGCAGGGAAGAAGGCACGGGCUGAAGAAGGUGUAGCUUCAGGGGACGGGGAGGAAACAACUAGGGUUGUAGAUGAUGUAUGUGUGCUGAUUUCUCAAGAGAACACAACGAGUGCUGCUGCUGUGGACACUGCUGAACCUGAGAAUGUUGCUGUUGAUGCUGGAGGCACGACGACUGAAGCUCACCUGGGCUCGGCAGAGAACAUGGAGAGUGCUGCUCCUGUCGAGGAAGGAGGUGAAACUGAAUCUAUCCUUGUGUCUGGAGAUAAAGCAGUGAGUGUCCCUAUCGUGGCAGGAGGCGCCAUGACUGAAGCUAACCUUUGGUCUGUGGAGAAUGCAGCAAGGGCUGCUGCUGUUGAGGCUGGAGUCGUCAUGACUGAAGCUCACCUGGGCUCGGCAGAGAACAUGGAGGGUGCUGCUCCUGUCGAGGAAGGAGGUGAAACUGAAUCUAUCCUUGUGUCUGGAGAUAAAGCAGUGAGUGUUCCUAUCGAGGCUGGCAGAAGCUAA